AACGAACGCUGGCGGCAUGCCUAACACAUGCAAGUCGAACGAGACCUUCGGGUCUAGUGGCGCACGGGUGCGUAACACGUGGGAAUUUGCCUCGGGGUAUGGAAUAACUCAGGGAAACUUGAGCUAAUACCAUAUAAUGUCUUCGGACCAAAGAUUUAUCGCCCUGAGAUAAGCCCGCGUAGGAUUAGCUAGUUGGUGAGGUAAAGGCUCACCAAGGCGACGAUCCUUAGCUGGUCUGAGAGGAUGAUCAGCCACACUGGGACUGAGACACGGCCCAGACUCCUACGGGAGGCAGCAGUGGGGAAUAUUGGACAAAUGGGCGGAAAGCCUGAUCCAGCAAUGCCGCGUGAGUGAUGAAGG
rnacentral:rRNA from 1 species